rfam:Ralstonia eutropha JMP134 chromosome 1, complete sequence.
UCCCCCGCUACUCCUCCCUGAGCGGGUACCCGCCUCAACCGGCGGGAAAGUUCGUCCCCGUUGCUUGCAACGGGGCUUUUUUUU